AAAACAAAGCGGAUCGGAUAAUUUGUCUCAGAAUUAGAUACAGAAUGACAGAAUUGCAGAGAUGACUAAGCAUGAUGUGCUAGUUAGACGAUAUGAAACAGAAACUUGCAGCUGCUGUUAACAUGGAACAGAGGAGAUGCAAAGAGUUCAGUCCAGAUUAAAAACAAUGAAACUGUGGAGAAGUUGUUACAAGUUCAAGCAUCCACGGGGAUGACAGUCACUAUGGUCAAGAGGCUGUUGAAGUUGAGAGAAGAACAUCUGAUCAAAUACUCUGCUGCUUUGGGCAUGAACCAGGCUCAGAUGAUGGCCAAACCUGUCUUAGUUUUUGGAGAAAAAGCUCAGCUGUACAAUGUGAGAUGUCUCCCUUGAAGACAAGGAAUAAGCCCCAAGGAAACUGCGCUGCAUCAACCGACAAGAUCUACAUCAGGAAGGACAUCAGAAGUCUUCUGACCACCACACCAACCUUUGUCACCGGCAGUGCCCUGGCAGGAGGUAAUAUGAAGAGUCCACAGAGCAUGAGGCAAGGUCUUUUUGAUCAAGGCAUCAUUUUGAAUGUUCAUAUGACGUCAUCAUCGGCGUCAACCUCGGAUUCGACCACAGAUCUCAGAUUCAGUCAUUGUUGUCACGCCAAUAUGAACAAGAAGACAGAAGAGAGCACUACUCAUUUACAAUAGGUGCCAAUCUGCAACGCUGCCACCUCAUCUGCUAAAUCUUCAGCACAGUGCACUCUCUGGCAACAA